CGAAUGCUAAAGGCAAUGCUUGCCUUACUUACGUCAGUGGGGAUGAAUGUUGACAUGAUGACAUUUAGGGAUCAGCAAAUUGGUCAGGGGAGGUUUUUGAAGCCAAGGGACCUGCCUCAGGCCACGGAAUUCACUAGAAUGUGGUUCACCAGAUGUGAACGGCAGCCUGGUCUCGGCUCCUAACCAGAAGCUGUGCUGCCUUCUGGCUGUGCAGGGCAGAACCGUCCCAGCCGCCAGCCUUCCCCACCGCAAAGGAAGUGCCUCGUACUUUCCAGUUCCUUCCAGGGCCGGCAAAACUUCACUUUGUCCGAUGGAGUCGAAGGGCUAAGAGGUCAGAGUCUGGCUUUUCUACUCCCAAGAACUCUUGGAUGGAGCUCCAAUUUAUGUUUUAGAAUUUCUAUUUGAGAAAGAAUUUGGGAUAUUAACUUUCAAUGCAUUUAAUGUAAUUAGGAACAAAAAGUUCAAAUUGGAGAUUUGUCUUUCGAAUUCUAGUCACUUAGCACUCAUGCAUUCCAAGACUGUGACUUCAAGGGCCUUGUCCCUGCCUCUCCCACCCUCCGACCCUGAGCUCAACCCCCAUCCCCCCCUUGCCUUCUCUGCAGUUCGUAUUUACUGAGAAGAUCCUUGCUUGCUCAUCAGUUGAGAUUAUCAGGGGGACAUGCCCUCCCCAACCUAAUGAAUGCUUCAACAGCAAGGCCUUUGAACCCUGGACUCCAGUUAAAAAGUAACAGGCUGGGGCCUGGAUCAAUUGGAGACAAAUAUGAACUGCGAGGGCUGAGAUACAGCCUUGGGAAGUCCCUGCUGCUGGCAGUGCGAGGAGAGCAACGGUCAUGCCUGACUGAGGGGCCAGGAGCCACUGGGGUCCCUGCGUCCUUGGGCUAGUGUCCUGUUCUACACGUGGAGCAUUCAAGCCACCAGCCCUGAAGUCAGCUUCCAGAGCUUUCUUGGUCUGACGACUGCAGUGUCCUACAGGGUGUCCACAUGACUGCCCACCCCACGCCCGUGUCUCACUCUCGAGCCAGCCUGCCUCCAGCAAAGCUCUGAUCGUGUCCCUCUACUGCCGGAUGUGUUCUACGACCCCCGUCUGCACUCGUGCCUGGGGUCUGGGCCAUCGCAGAUGUUGGGACAGGAGGGGGAUAGAGUUCCAGGCAGUCAGAUCAAAGGAGUACGUCCCUGUCCUCGCCCUCCCCUUCUACUGUGCGCCACCAUUUCUUCGUUGUGAAACUCUCUGACAUUGCUCUCUGCUGGUUUUUCUCUCACUCUCAAAAUGCCUCUACUAGCUUCUCUCCUCCCCUGGAAGUAAUGUUCCCGAAUCAUUUGUUCUUAGUGAGCUCACUCUCUCCUCUCACACUCUCAAGGCCCCUCCUCUCCUGGCGUAAGUCAUUACCCCCAUGAGGACAAUUACCCAAACUCCCUCUAACCCCACUUCAUCUUCAAAAGCCCCAUGGCCAUCAGUACAGGACAUUCCUCGAGUCGCUACAACACAAACGGCACAGGACAUUCCCAGAAGUCUGGUGGCCUGAGGAGAAUAAUCACAGUACUCCCCAGAGCUGGAAUGCAGCUAUGCUCCCACCCACCACGUGCGCGGCCCUCAGUACGUGCACCGUCUCUCACCUGCCUCUGGCAAAUUAAAAAAGAAGAAGAAGAA